rnacentral:rRNA from 1 species
UUGCCGACCAAGUCCGUCGGGAAAUCCAGUGGCUCAACCUCUGGACGUCCGGCGGAAACUGCUCGGCUUGGGACCGGAAGACUCGAGGGGUACGUCCGGGGUAGGAGUGAAAUCCCGUAAUCCCGGACGGACCACCGAUGGCGAAAGCACCUCGAGAGCACGGAUCCGACAGUGAGGGACGAAAGCUGGGGUCUCGAACCGGAUUAGAUACCCGGGUAGUCCCAGCCGUUAACGAUGCCCGCUAGGUCUGGCACAGGCUACGAGCCUGUGCUGUGCCGCAGUGAAGACGUAAGCGGGCCGCCUGGGAA